rfam:Shewanella sp. P1-14-1 AN944_contig000002, whole genome shotgun sequence.
CAUGUGGUGCUCAACUUCGGGUUGGGAGAGCGACAUGGCCUGCUAUUAAGGU